GUCUCAGUAAAAGCCGAAUUAAGGUGAAACCGCGAAUGGCUCAAUAUAUCAGUUUUGGUUCCUUAGAUCGUACACGGUUACUUGGAUAACUGUGGUAAUUCUAGAGCUAAUACAUGCAAACGAGGUUCUGACCGGUAACGGGAGGAAUGCUUUUAUUAGAUCAAAAACCAAUCGGCGGCGGGGUUCGCGCCCCGUCCGUCGCCAUUCGAGAUGACUCUAGAUAACUUUGAGCUGAUCGCACGGUCUAGCACCGGCGACGCAUCUUUCAAAUGUCUGCCUUAUCAACUGUCGAUGGUAGUUUAUGCGACUACCAUGGUUGUCACGGGUAACGGGGAAUCAGGGUUCGAUUCCGGAGAGGGAGCCUGAGAAACGGCUACCACAUCCACGGAAGGCAGCAGGCGCGCAAAUUACCCACUCCCGGCACGGGGAGGUAGUGACGAAAAAUAACGAUACGGGACUCGUCCGAGGCCUCGUGAUCGGAAUGAUUACACUUUAAAUCCUUUAACGAGGAUCCAUUGGAGGGCAAGUCUGGUGCCAGCAGCCGCGGUAAUUCCAGCUCCAAUAGCAUAUACUAAAGUUGUUGCGGUUAAAAAGCUCGUAGUUGAAAUUGUGUCCUGCGGUGUCGGUCUACCGAAUGCGGUACGACAGGCACGUCUGCGGGGCUUCUCGCCGGUGCGUCCACCGCCGGCGUGUGUCGGUCGGCCUCACGGUCGGCCGCGCACCGAGGCGGGCCGUCGCGGCUGUUUACUUUGAACAAAUUAGAGUGCUCAAAGCGGGCUAACACUUGCCUGAAUAUUGUACGCAUGGAAUAAUAGAAUAGGACCUCGGUUCUGUUUUGUUGGCUUUCUGAUACCAGAGGUAAUGAUUAAUAGGGACAACUGGGGGCAUUCGUAUUGCGACGUUAGAGGUGAAAUUCUUGGAUCGUCGCAAGACGGACUAAAGCGAAAGCAUUUGCCAAAGGUGUUUUCAUUAAUCAAGAACGAAAAGUUAGAGGUUCGAAGGCGAUUAGAUACCGCUGUAGUUCUAACCAUAAAUGAUGCCAGCCAGCGAUCCGCCGAAGUUUCAUAAUUUUAACCCGGUGGGCAGCUCCCGGGAAACCAAAGCUUUCGGGCUCCGGGGGGAGUAUGGUUGCAAAGCUGAAACUUAAAGGAAUUGACGGAAAGGCACCACCAGGAGUGGAGCUUGCGGCUUAAUUCGACUCAACACGGGAAAACUCACCAGGCCCGGACACUGGAAGGAUUGACGGAUUAACAGCUCUUUCUCGAUUCGGUGGGUGGUGGUGCAUGGCCGCUCUUAGUUGGUGGAGCGAUUUGUCAGGUUAAUUCCGGUAACGAACGUAACUCUAGCCUAUUAAAUAGACGUGCAACCGGUAUCACGAGGGUCCGCGUGCGCGUGUCCCGCGGCGUUCGCGUCGCGGUCGCGCGUUUCGCGGUCUUCACUACCGGCGUACAAUGAAAAUCUUCUUAGAGGGACCGGCGGUAUAUAUAGCCGCACGAGAUUGAGCAAUAGCAGGU
rnacentral:rRNA from 1 species